GUCCCUUCGCAACAUUCGAUAAAAUUGGAACCAUACAGAGAAGAUUAGCUUGGCUCUUCGCAAGGACGGCAUGUACAAAUCAAGAAAUUGUUCAAAUUUUU